rnacentral:rRNA from 1 species
UACGUAGGGGGCCAGCGUUGCUCGGAAUUACUGGGCGUAAAGGGUCCGUAGGCGGUGUAGCAAGUCGAUAGUGAAAUCUCUGGGCUUAACCCAGAGGCUGCUAACGAAACUGCUGUGCUAGAGUACUGGAGAGGAGACUGGAAUUUACGGUGUAGCAGUGAAAUGCGUAGAUAUCGUAAGGAAGACCAGUGGCGAAGGCGAGUCUCUGGACAGUUACUGACACUGAGGCACGAAGGCCAGGGGAGCAAACGGG